rnacentral:snRNA from 1 species
GGCUUUCCGCAGUGGCAUCGUAGCCAGUGAGGUUUAUCCGAGGCGCGAUUGUUGCUAAUUGAAAAUACAC